rnacentral:lncRNA from 1 species
AUGAUAAUGGCCCUGAUUCUGGCAAAGCUGAGGUAUUCCCAUUUAUUCAAGUUGGAUUUUUUUUGCAUUCCACCUGCUGAUGUCCGAGCAAUUGGGGCAGUGCCAAAGCAAGUCCUGUCAGCAGAGGCAUGGAAGAUUUGUCAUCCACUUUUCUUCAAAUGGGAAGUGAUGCACAGAGAUGAAAAGAGUCAGUGCUCCACAGACACUCUGUCAGGGCAAGUGCUUGAGAUCACCAGUCCAAAGGUGUAGAAGAGGACUGCAAGCCUUCUUUCACACAGUGCAUCCUGGCUCACUUCCUUGUCUUGGAAAAGAUUGUUUUAAUACCUGUGAACAUGUGCAUUACAAGAGACAGACUUACUCCUUCCUGUAUUGAAAACUGAGCUCUGAAUAUUUCUCUGGGAACAUCAAGCAUGGAGAAUUAGCACAUUGGACAGAGAAUGCCUUCCUAUCCCUGAAAGAAAAAAUGAGCAGACUGAGGCAGCACCACUGUUACAGGCUGAGGACGAGCUCCACAUGACUCAGAAGUGAAAGAGAGAAAUGAAACCAAAGCCUCCUACAGCAAAUUUCUUCCUACCUCUCUCCUCCCUUUCCCCUACCAAACUGUAUUGUCUUAAUCUGGGAACGUGAUUUAUUUCUGAAAUAUCUAGUGGGUGGCAGAGGUGGGGAGCAAAGCUGCACAAAGCUCCCCAGAGCUGCUGACCGAGGUAAAUAGUGUGUCAUAACACAUUUAUCAAAUAAUAAUGGAAACUGUAUAGAACACAUAGGAGAGGGAGGGGGAAACCCCCUUCCCCACUGGGAAGUUACUGAAUAUUUCAGCCAGUUUAUAAAAGUAUGUGUGCAUGUGUUUGGAAGGGGGAGGUUUUUCUAGCUCCACCUCUGCAAAUCAAUCAUUGGCGUGGGAUGUCUGAGCAGACAAGUGAAAUGGAUGAGCGCAUUAUGGAUCAAGGAGGUGGGAUUCCUGCCUUGGUUGGUUUGAGACAGACCCCCCAAGCACUGUGGGUCUAAGAUGAGACUGUAAGCAGAGCUCGUAGAGUUCUGAAAGGCUGAGGCUGCAGCCUCUGACAUGGUAUGAAGGUGGGGAAUAAAAUAAAAUUGGUGAUAAAU